rnacentral:lncRNA from 1 species
CUGGCAGACCUAACGGAUGAGUUGCCCCAUUCUCAGCCAGGUCCACUUCUUGCGAGGCUGAAUUCUACUCUUCAGUAUGGUUAUGGCACCUCACCUGGCCCUUCCAUCAUACAUCAUCAUGCUUUUCCUGGAUGGAGUCUUCCCAGCCUCUUCCCUAUGAGCUGUGAGAAGGCAGAGCUUGCUGAGCACGCUCUGGGAACAGGCUUCCAUUGGCCAGAGCCCCUGUUAUACUGUCCCCAAUUUCAUCCAGGGACUCUACUAUUCAGGCCUCCUCACAUUAAGGGCAACUGAGAUUUAGGACUUCUGGGUCCUGUUCAAUGACCUUCCUCUCUCUCUUCAUCCCACUCUGCUUCCUCAUGUACCCUGGGAGUUUUGUUGUCUUUCCAACAAGGGUGGGAGGGGGCUGUCAGAGCUGUCUGCCCCUUACCUGCUGCUUUCCACCUCUCAUUCAGGAGGACAUCAAUAACUAUUUGAUGGAUACUGUCGAUGCUGAAUAUCAGAAACAAAAUCAGGACCACACUGGGGUCCGCAUCACUGAGCAGCUGAAGCUGAAGGAGAAAAUGAAGAAUGAUGAUGCCUCUUACAAUGAGCCAAUAACGGGAAAUACAACACUGGAAAAGGCCCUCAGUAUCUGGGAGUUGAUGCUGAAAAAGAUUAAGGAUGGGUGGAACAAAGUUCUUGAGUUUGUGAGGCAGAUAGUUGGUUUUGUGAAGAAGAUUAAAGAUGAUAUAGUAAAGGCAGUGAAAAGUAUAUGGGAGAUGUUGAAGAGCCUAUUUUAAUUCCCUCCAUGGUAGAAAGAACUGCACGUCAUGGGUACUUUGUAAGGCUUCCAGAUUUAGGGUAAUUUUAAUUUUUUUCAAAUUAUAAACUUCAUGAAAAAAGAAGGUGGGAGAGAAUUUCCAUGCACACAGCAGAAUAUCAAAAGAAGAUUCUAUAUGUAAACCUAAAUUUCUGUUUCAUAUCAUUUGCUUUAAGAUAAAAUAAUAAAGUCUCUAUAUUACAUAGAGAUCUCUCCUGA